rnacentral:rRNA from 1 species
AACGAACGCUGGCGGCAGGCCUAACACAUGCAAGUCGAGCGAGGACUUCGGUUCUAGCUGCGGACGGGUGAGUAACGCGUGGGAAUGUGCCCUUCUCUACGGAAUAGCCCUGGGAAACUGGGAGUAAUACCGUAUACGCCCUAUUGGGGAAAGAUUUAUCGGAGAAGGAUCAGCCCGCGUUGGAUUAGGUAGUUGGUGGGGUAAUGGCCUACCAAGCCGACGAUCCAUAGCUGGUUUGAGAGGAUGAUCAGCCACACUGGGACUGAGACACGGCCCAGACUCCUACGGGAGGCAGCAGUGGGGAAUCUUAGACAAUGGGGGCAAACCUGAUCUAGCCAUGCCGCGUGAGUGAUGAAGGCCUUAGGGUUGUAAAGCUCUUUCAGCUGGGAAGAUAAUGACGGUACCAGCAGAAGAAGCCCCGGCUAACUACGUG